UCUGCACGUACGUACGUACAUGUACUCAGUUUCUCUUUUAACAUGACAGUUAAAAGUGUGUUCGAAGCUAAAACUAGCGGUAGCAGAGGAGGCGGUGAGCUGGGUGCAUGGCAUGUGGUGGUGGGCGCGCCCAUCAUCCUACGGACAGGCAAAUGGAGCAUUCAAUGGCGACAGCUAGCAGUGUGCCGUGGUUUCCAAAUUCCAAGUACCAAUCAGCCAGCGGUACGGGUGUCGCAGGGGAAUAUAAUGAACGAAUCUCUUUUAAGAAUUACCGCGAUGAAGGGGUCGCGGCCGAGCAGGCCGUAGAUGAACCAGGAGGUGCCGCAGAGGAAGACGGACAGCGACAGCAGGAACGGCAUGAACUCCACGCUCUUGGUCUUGAUCACCAACCUCUGCACACACACGGAAAAUAUGUUGUAAUUCGAUUCAUUAAUCACCGUGCAAUUAAUUAAGCUCGAUCAUGUUUGUGUGUCAAAUCGGCUGUGUAUGCUUUAAUGCUUACCAUGAUGGAGAGCGGCGAGGCGUACAUGCAAAUGGAGAAGACGGUGGCGGCGAGGCCGCAGAAGACCUUGCGGGCCUGGCCGUGCAAGGCGAGCAGGGACACGAGCACCACCGUGGUGAAGAUGGAGGUGACGAGGCCCAGGAGCCCCGUCAUCCGGAGCCUGGACUUCCGCUCCGCGAAAAUAAGGAAGAUUAUCACGUAGAUGGCCUCGAUCACCGACCCGGCCCCGUUGAUCGUCGUCACCAGGAUGUUGUUCGGGGACACGAACGGCAGCCCGUACCUGAGGAAAUUCCACAAGGCCCCGGUUUAUUAACCACACAGCCAACUGCCAAGUUUAGCUUGAUUUUCAGUGGUAAAAUAGUAGAAUUUGCUCCAUGUAACCGGGUAUUUCUCAACAAGUUUUGCUCCAUGUAACCGGGUAUUUGCAGCGACUUGCAAGAUAUUUUCAUAGAUA